GGGUAAAAUUGUCUUACAUCGUGGACCAACAAUCGUUGGUAACUUCUGCUCAUAAUCUCUAAUCGGGUAAAUGGACAAAAAAUUUAAAGUAACAAAAGGUAUGGACAAGAAUACAUUUUCGGUUUUAUCGUAGACAUCUUUUUUGUCUUUCCUUGUAGACAUCUUUUUCUUCGUCUUCAGUUUUCUAGUAGACAUCUUUGUCUUCGACUUCCUCGUAGACAACAAACACUUAAUCUGCACAAUUGAAGUGGAAUAACCAAUUAGAAACAAAAUCACAACCAGUAAAUCAUCAUAUUUAGAUGCGAAAAUGAAUUUGAUUUAUAUGGAAAAUCAAAAGGAUGUAUUCUUGAGGAUAUCAAAAUUUACAGAUUUGAAUUUUUUGAUCUAGAAAGAGAAUAAGACGAUGGUGGAUAUGCAAAAAGAUCUAAACAAUUGAAAAUAAAUCUUAGAUCUAAACAAUAGUUGUAAGAGAGACGAAAUAAAGAAAGGAAGAGGAGAGAUAGAGCAAGGAAUAUGAGAGAGAGAGCAUGAAACGAUAUAGAAGAGAAGAAGAUGAAGAUAUUUGUUUGUGUUUGUAGAGAAAUAAUAAAAAGGAUAAUUGUGUCUUUUCAAUUAUUAGAAUUACGUAUAUUAUAUAUUUUUACUUGUAUUAUUUAA
rnacentral:lncRNA from 1 species